AAACAGGAUUAGAUUCCUGGUAGUCCACGCCGUAAACGACGUCGACUAGGAGGUUGUUCCCUUGAAGAGUGGCUUCCGGAGCUAACGCGUUAAGUCGACCGCCUGGGGAGUACGGCCGCAAGGUUAAAACUCAAAUGAAUUGACGGGGGCCCGCACAAGCGGUGGAGCAUGUGGUUUAAUUCGAUGCAACGCGAAGAACCUUACCUACUCUUGACAUCCAGAGAACUUAGCAGAGAUGCUUUGGUGCCUUCGGGAACUCUGAGACAGGUGCUGCAUGGCUGUCGUCAGCUCGUGUUGUGAAAUGUUGGGUUAAGUCCCGCAACGAGCGCAACCCUUAUCCUUUGUUGCCAGCGAUUCGGUCGGGAACUCAAAGGAGACUGCCGGUGAUAAACCGGAGGAAGGUGGGGAUGACGUCAAGUCAUCAUGGCCCUUACGAGUAGGGCUACACACGUGCUACAAUGGCGCAUACAAAGAGAAGCGACCUCGCGAGAGCAAGCGGACCUCACAAAGUGCGUCGUAGUCCGGAUCGGAGUCUGCAACUCGACUCCGUGAAGUCGGAAUCGCUAGUAAUCGUGGAUCAGAAUGCCACGGUGAAUACGUUCCCGGGCCUUGUACACACCGCCCGUCACACCAUGGGAGUGGGUUGCAAAAGAAGUAGGUAGCUUAACCUUCGGGAGGGCGCUUAU
rnacentral:rRNA from 1 species